GAUCCAAAAUUGUCUUCUGGAAGAAACAUCACAAAACUUCAAAGAAAUUAGAAAAAAGUUACCUACAUAGGCAGAGAAUUCAACUGUGAGUUGACAAUUAUUUACGAUUCUCUUAACUGGCUGUUUCACAACGUUAUGGAGCUAAGAAAGGAUGAAAGCUUACCACUGCUUGGAUACCAGCUUGAUAAGCAGCUUGGAAUGUCAAAUAUAUAACAAGAAAGGAAAUAUUCUACUUUAAAGGAACAUGGUAAGUAAAUGAAUAACAUGGACACAACUUAGUAUAAGUUCUUUACCCUAAUAAAUUAAUUAUUCAUUUGCAAAUAUUACCAAAAGUAAAAAAAAUUUAUUUUAUAGAGUGGUUGAUUUUUGUAAUACAUCAAAAACUGUGAUGUUAUACACUUCCCUAUUCUCAUUGCUUAUCUCAUAUCAGUGGUUGAAGUUUCUCCCAAAUAAUUUAGUUUACAUUUAAAGUGGCAAUACAGAUUUUACUUAAUGGACUUAAGUUAUAAUUAGAAACCAGUUUUAUAUACAGAAAAUCCAUAAAUAUAGAACUUUUAUUCCUAUUUUAUCUUUAGGCUAUGCAAAAAAUGGACUAAAAAUUUUUCAUUUGGGUCUUUGUAAUAAACAUGUAAAUACAUAUUUACAAUGGAGAUGCUUCCUGAUAGAAAGUAAACAGAAGUAAUUUUGGUCUUCACUAGAAUCCAUCAUAUCUAUUUUUGAAGAUGAUGUAAUACAUCAUGUUUACUCAAAAUUUGAUUCCUUUUAUACACAUAAUUUAAAUAAUUACUCCACUUUUACCAUUAAUGUUUCAUUCUGUAUUUAAAUUUCCUUCAAGAAAGAUUCCUUGAUCCAGUAGUAGGGAACUCUGUUUCUGUACAGUUAAUGUGUAAUUUUUAUCCUUCUGGCAAUAUUACAAAUACUGAGUCAUUUAAUCUUCAUUGUUUAUUCUCCAGGGGUAAUUCUUGAGUUAUCUCACAUGAUGUAAGUACCAUCUUUGCAGUAUUUCAUGGAUUCCAUUUGUUUUGUCAUAGCCAGAACAUCAUGAAAUCCAGUACUUAGGCCAGACAUAUGUUGAAAGUAUGCCUCCUUUUCCACUUGAAUUGUUAAAUUGUUUACUCCAGCAUCUUUAAGUAUUCCUGUAACC
rnacentral:lncRNA from 1 species